GCCCGCUCAGAAACUUAAAGGAAUUGACGGGGCCCGCACAAGCGGUGGAGUAUGUGGUUUAAUUCGAUGAUACGCGAGGAACCUUACCUGGGCUCAAAUGUAUGUUGACGUAUUCUGAAAGGGAUACUUCUUCGGACAAUAUACAAGGUGCUGCAUGGUUGUCGUCAGCUCGUGCCGUGAGGUGUCGGGUUAAGUCCCAUAACGAGCGCAACCCCUAUCAUUAGUUGCCAUCAGGUCAAGCUGGGGACUCUAAUGAAACUGCCUACGCAAGUAGUGAGGAAGGUGGGGAUGACGUCAAAUCAGCACGGCCCUUACGUCCAGGGCUACACACGUGCUACAAUGGCCGGUACAAAGGGCAGCUACCUGGUGACAGGAUGCUAAUCUCAAAAGCCGGUCUCAGUUCGGAUCGGAGUCUGCAACCCGACUCCGUGAAGCUGGAAUCGCUAGUAACCGCGCAUCAGCCAUGGCGCGGUGAAUACGUUCCCGGGCCUU
rnacentral:rRNA from 1 species